rnacentral:miRNA from 10 species
ACGGGCCUUUCUUCAGAGUCAAC